rnacentral:rRNA from 1 species
CCAGACUCCUACGGGAGGCAGCAGUGGGGAAUAUUGGACAAUGGGGGGAACCCUGAUCCAGCGACGCCGCGUGAGUGAAGAAGUAUUUCGGUAUGUAAAGCUCUAUCAGCAGGGAAGAAAGAAAUGACGGUACCUGACUAAGAAGCCCCGGCUAACUACGUGCCAGCAGCCGCGGUAAUACGUAGGGGGCAAGCGUUAUCCGGAUUUACUGGGUGUAAAGGGAGCGUAGACGGCGAUGCAAGUCAGAUGUGAAAGCCCGGGGCUCAACCCCGGGACUGCAUUUGGAACUGUGUGGCUGGAGUGUCGGAGAGGCAGGCGGAAUUCCUAGUGUAGCGGUGAAAUGCGUAGAUAUUAGGAGGAACACCAGUGGCGAAGGCGGCCUGCUGGACGAUGACUGACGUUGAGGCUCGAAAGCGUGGGGAGCAAACAGGAUUAGAUACCCGAGUACAU